CCAGCAUCAGCUGAAAUAAUUAUUGCUUUGUGGAAGUUGGAAAAACAAGAUACAGUUGGUCUCAGGGACUCCAGAAAUGUAGGAGCCAGCAUCUGCUCUCCUCUUUCCAUCUCUCUCCUCCUUUUUUGGGCUGAGGAUAAGCUUAGCAGGUGCUCUACCAUGAACCACCCCUUCCAGUCCCUUCAUCCCUCUUGUCUCAGUGUCUCCUUUCUCUGUGCCAGGGUUCUCAUAUAGCUCAAUAUGGUAUUGGGGAAGGGAAAGGUCAUGGCUUCCUCAUCCCAGUUUGGUGACCCCCCAAAGAGAGAAAUCUCUUCUAAUGUCUAUAUAUAAAGACCCAGAGAAGCAUUCCAGUUGGCUGUGCUCAACUCACAUGACCAACAGUGGGCCAAUCUCUUUGCUAGAUUGGCUAGGCCUAGUCCAGGUUCAGUGGCCUGGGGCAGCACUGUGACUGUCUGGUGAGGAACUGGGGAAGGGCAAUGUACCUCCUCAGAGAGGAAGGGAGAGAUGCUGCAGACAAGUGCAACAGUGGCCACAGUCAGCAAUACCUACCAACGGGAGGCCCCUGCUAUGGGAGACUCUGGGCUGAUGUGGGGAAGGAGGGGGUCUGAGUAACAUGUAUUCCGCAAGUGACAAAAUUCAACCUCAGAGAAGCAAAAAUAUCGGGCAUCUCAGAUGGGUAAGAGCAGGUGGCAGGGCCGUCUUCAGGUUUCUUCCCCUCCCCGCCUCUUCUCACAAGCCCUUGGCUGUCCUUAUUGAGGUAACAAUUGCCAUUCUUCUUCCAAACACUGUAUAAACAGUAACAAUGUAUUUACAGCCCCCCUGAGAGCCAGCUGCUGAUGAGCUCUGUGUCCCUGCUCCCUUACAGGGGGAGUGAAUUCCAGCAGGAUGUCAUGGAGCCAAGGAAGGUGGGGUAGGGAGCUGGGGCUCUAGGGUCAGCACUCUGGAGCAGUGCCUGAGCCCUCCACCCCACUCCUCAAUAACCUUAACUCUCCCAGCCACUGGUGGCCUCAGAAAUCUCUGAACAAACUUGAAUGCCCGCACUGAAGGACCAUGCUUGGGCAGCUAUAAGAAUUGGCAGAUCAACUCCAGAGACUGUUGGCCACUGGUGGUGAGGAGACCAAGGCUCAUUGAGUUACCAUGAGAGCAGAAACUGAGAUAGGAAUUUGGGAAUAAAGGAAGAAACACUGAGUCUCAAAAGAAGUGCCCAGAAACCCCUGGAAUGCAGGAGACACUCAUGAAGGACUGAAAUGCAGAGAGCACCCAUGCAGAAUGGCAGCUCCUGAGCACAUGCCUUGGCCCAGGCCCUUGUAACCCAUGAGGGGAAUGUGCAAGUACAGGGCACACUGGCGUGCAGUCACGUAGCUCUACCUGGCUCACCCUGUAGCCAGACCCUAGCAAUAAUCCCUCUAUGAAUAUUCAUCUCCACACCAAAAGGUUGCUGUCUCUCCUCUCCAUCUGAAGACAGCCCAUAUUUUCCCUCGAAUAUGUACCUACUCUCCUAAAUAAACCUAUAUGUCUUUGAAUGGUG